rnacentral:rRNA from 1 species
AAUAUAUAGAUAACGUACCUCUUAGUCUGGGAUAGCCAUUGGAAACGAUGAUUAAUACUAGAUACUCCUUCUCUUUAUAAUUAGAGUCGGGAAAGUUUUUCGCUAAGAGAUCGGUCUAUAUCCCAUCAGUUAGUUGGUAGGGUAAUGGCCUACCAAGGCAAUGACGGGUAGCGGGUUUGAGAGGAUGAUCCGCCACACUGGUACUGAGACACGGACCAGACUCCUACGGGAGGCAGCAGUGAGGAAUAUUGCACAAUGGAGGAAACUCUGAUGCAGCAACGCCGCGUGGAGGAUGACGCAUUUCGGUGUGUAAACUCCUUUUAUAAGGGAAGAAAAUGACGGUACCUUAUGAAUAAGCACCGGCUAACUCCGUGCCAGCAGCCGCGGUAAUACGGAGGGUGCAAGCGUUACUCGGAAUCACUGGGCGUAAAGGACGCGUAGGCGGGAUGCCAAGUCUGAUGUGAAAUCCUAUGGCUUAACCAUAGAACUGCAUUGGAAACUGGUAACCUAGAGUAUGGGAGGGGGAGAUGGAAUUAGUGGUGUAGGGAUAAAAUCCGUAGAUAUCAC